rnacentral:rRNA from 1 species
GACGAACGCUGGCGGCGUGCUUAACACAUGCAAGUCGAACGGAAAGGCCCUGCUUUUGUGGGGUGCUCGAGUGGCGAACGGGUGAGUAACACGUGAGUAACCUGCCCUUGACUUUGGGAUAACUUCACGAAACUGGGGCUAAUACCGGAUAGGAGCUCCUGCUGCAUGGUGGGGGUUGGAAAGUUUCGGCGGUUGGGGAUGGACUCGCGGCUUAUCAGCUUGUUGGUGGGGUAGUGGCUUACCAAGGCUUUGACGGGUAGCCGGCCUGAGAGGGUGACCGGCCACAUUGGGACUGAGAUACGGCCCAGACUCCUACGGGAGGCAGCAGUGGGGAAUAUUGCACAAUGGGCGGAAGCCUGAUGCAGCAACGCCGCGUGCGGGAUGACGGCCUUCGGGUUGUAAACCGCUUUCGCCUGUGACGAAGCGUGAGUGACGGUAAUGGGUAAAGAAGCACCGGCUAACUACGUG